rnacentral:lncRNA from 1 species
GUGCUCUUCACAAAAUGGAUGUCAUUGAAAAGUGCUUUUCAUAAAAAAUGGAAAGUUAGGAGUAGGUUGUUCAUUAAAAAAAAAAAGAAAAAAAAGAAGAAGAAGUUCGUAGAAGGCUAGAAGACGAAAAUACUUUUCAUUUUAGAGAGAACUUAACAGAGAUUCCUACACAAGAAUGUCCAGAAGAAUUCAUCAAUUCAUUAGUUUGUCUUAUCUUCUUUUCCUUAAGUGUAUUGUUGGAUGAGCUAUGACAUAAUUAUCAUUAGUAGGCCUGAGUAGGCUAAAUUAAAAUUUUGAAUAAUAAAAUAACAACUCACCUAGGUUAUAGUCCAUGUUAGUCCCUUCUUGGGACCAUCCCUGCCUAUAUGUGGAGGAGGAUUAGUCCAAUCCCAAGUUCAGCUCUUCAUUAGUGGUCCAUUGUAAGUCUUUUCCUUUUGUAGGCAC